AUUGAACGCUAGCGGGAUGCUUUACACAUGCAAGUCGAACGAGUGGCGGACGGGUGAGUAAUAUCUCGGAACGUGCCCAGUAGCUGGGGAUAACUACUCGACAGAGUGGCUAAUACCGCAUACUAUUGGCGCGGCCGCUAUCGGAUUCGCUAGUGUGCGUGGUAAAGGCUCACCAAGGCAACGAUCCGUCGCUGGUGUGAUAGUACGACCAGCCACACUGUGAAGGUACAACGGUCCAGAGUCCUACGGGAGGCAGCAGUGGGGAAUUGGGGAAAAUGGGGGAAACCCUGAUCCAGCCAUCCCGCGUGUAGGAGAAGGCCUUCGGGUGGUAAAGUAAUGUUGGCAGAGCAGCGGUAUCUGCAGAAUAAGCACCGGCUAACUCCGUGCCAGCAGCCGCGGUAAUUC
rnacentral:rRNA from 1 species